rfam:Zea mays cultivar B73 chromosome 3, whole genome shotgun sequence.
CCAUUGCGUGACGAUGAGGUGAUUGCCUAUCUCCUUGCUGGUCUUGGUGCUGACUAUGAUGCCUUUGUUACAUCAAUGACCACAAAGUGUGAGACCCUAUCUCUUGAUGAUGUUUAUGCAUACCUAAUGGUUUUUGAAG